AAGUGUUCUAGAGAAGAUUUCCUACUGGACCAUUUCUGUCGACGCCAUGUACCUGGAGGGACCAAAUACAAGAAGAACACUGACAAUUCUUUCUGUCAUCGGAAAUCAACGAAGAGCAGCAGAAGUCAGCCAAACUCGAAGAGCACCAUUUCAACAUCCAGCCUGAACCCUGUAGAAAAAACUUCACCUCCCCAUCAAGAUGAAUUGGAUAUCGCAGAUCA